UACGUAGGGCGCAAGCGUUGUCCGGAUUUAUUGGGUUUAAAGGGUGCGUAGGUGGCCCGUUAAGUCCGGGGUGAAAGCCCACUGCUCAACAGUGGAACUGCCCUGGAAACUGGCGAGCUUGAGUCCAGACGAGGUUGGCGGAAUGGAUGCUGUAGCGGUGAAAUGCAUAGAUAGCAUCCAGAACCCCGAUUGCGUAGGCAGCUGACUAGGCUGGUACUGACACUGAGGCACGAAAGCGUGGGGAGCGAACAGG
rnacentral:rRNA from 1 species